CAGCAGCCACGGUAAUACGUAGGGGGCUAGCGUUAUUCGGAAUUAUUGGGCGUAAAGCGCUCGUAGGCGGGAUGGAAAGUCCGUGAAGAAAGACCUGGGCUCAACUCAGGGAACGGCACGGAUACUUCCAUUCUUGAGGCAAUCAGAGGGUGAUGGAAUUCCCGGUGUAGCGGUGAAAUGCGUAGAUAUCAUGAGGAAGACCAGUUGCGAAGGCGACUCUCUGGGCAACUCCUGACGCUGAGGCGCGAAAGCGUGGGGAGCAAACAGGAUUAGAUACCCCCGUAGUCCCUGUCUCUUAUAU
rnacentral:rRNA from 1 species